UCUUGACUAGUAUAUCGGUUAGUACACGCGCUUGUCAUGCAACGGAUCCGCCUAACAUGUCCGCGCGAAAGCUGGGUUCGACUCCCAGGUCGAGAG